rnacentral:rRNA from 1 species
GAUGAACGCUGGCGGCGUGCUUAACACAUGCAAGUCGAACGGGAGAUAUUUCAUUGAGACUUCGGUGGAUUUGAUUUAUUUCUAGUGGCGGACGGGUGAGUAACGCGUGGGUAAACUGCCUUAUACAGGGGGAUAACAGUCAGAAAUGGCUGCUAAUACCGCAUAAGCUCACUGAGCUGCAUGGCUCAGUGUGGAAAACUCCGGUGGUAUAAGCUGGACCCGAGUUGGAUUAGCUAGUUGGAGGGGUAACGGACCACCAAGGCGCCGAUCCCUAGCCGGCCUGAGAGAGAGAACCGCCACAUUGGGGCUGGGACACGGCCCAGACUCCUCCGCAAUGGAGGAGAGGGGAAUAGAGCACCAUGGGGUGAACCCUGAUGCAGUUACGCCGCUUGAAGGAAGAAGUAUGGCGGUAUGAAAACUUCUAGUAGCAGUGAAGAUAGUGACGGUACCUGACUAGGAAGCCCCGGCUAACUACGUG